rnacentral:rRNA from 1 species
UUCCGGUUGAUCCUGCCGGACCCCACUGCUAUCGAGGUGGGACUUAGCCAGGCCAGUCGAACGACUCGGACUAUGGCGAGAAGUGGCAAACUGCUCAGUAACACGUAGCUAACCUACCCUCAGGACGGAGACAACCCCGGGAGACUGGGGUUAAUCCCCGAUAGGCGUGGAUUCCUGGAAUGGUGUCACGCCGAAACGUUAACACACCAUGUUUGUGUACACGCCUGAGGAUGGGGCUGCGGCCGAUCAGGCAGUUGGUGAGGUAACGGCUCACCAAACCUUUGACCGGUACGGGCCGUGAGAGCGGUAGCCCGGAGAUGGACACUGAGACAAGGGUCCAGGACCUACGGGUCGCAGCCGGUACGAAACCUCCACAAUGCACGCAAGUGCGAUGGGGUUACCUCGAGUGCCGCCUGAAGAAGGCGGCUUUUCCAUUGUGUAAUGAGCCGUGGGAAUAAGGGGGGGGCAAGACUGGUGUCAGCCGCCGCGGUAACACCAGCCCCCCGAGUGGUGGGGAUGUUUAUUUGGCCUAAAACGUCCGUAGCCAGCUAGGUAAAUCUCUCGUUAAAUCCAGCGUCCUAAGCGUUGGGCUGCGAGAGAGACUGCCAAGCUAGAGGGUGGGAGAGGUCAGCGGUAUUUCUGGGGUAGGGGCGAAAUCCAUUGAUCCCAGGAGGACCACCAGUGGCGAACGCUGCUGACUAGAACACGCCUGACGGUGAGGGACGAAGCUGGGGUAGCGAAUCGGAUUAGAUACCCGAGUAGUCCCAGCCGUAAACGAUGCAGCUAGUGUUGGGUGACACGUGCGACUCAGUGCCACAGGAAGCCAUUAAGCCUGCUGCUGGGAGUACGUCGCAGCUGAACUUAAAGAUGCGGGAGAGCACCACAGGCGUGAGCCUGCGUUUAAUGAUCACGC